ensembl:lncRNA
AGAAACUCCUGAAUAUAUUUGUAAUGACAAGAGAAACCUUUUUUGCUUCUACAAAAUUUAUAGCAGCGUUCUAUUUUUCUGCCAGAAAAUCCUCUUACAGAAACUACAACAGAUACAAAGAAUAUAGUAACAAAAUUGGACAAAAUUGGAUAGUGCAUAACCAGAGCUACAAAACACUUCCACAGUACAGUCACCACCAUCACCUACACAUUUUCACCAGCGAUGAACAAGAGUUGGCAUGCCAUGCUCAUAAAAAUCUGCACCAGCAGAAGUGACCCACUGUUUCAUAGCUGCUAUGAUGGCACUGUUGCUAGGUAAAUGUUGCCCAUACCUCACUGUGUUUAUAUCCAGUGUUUGGUCUUUAUAAACAUCCAGCAAGCAUUGAUUAAUGUCAAUGGGUGCCACUUUUUCCUGCAUGGAGGAGUUUGAUUCCACACCUCUGCAUCAUACACAAUUCCAUGUCAGAGGCCAUUCUGUCAGACUGCUUCUCUGUCACACUGCAACAAAAUGGAACGGGAUAGUGGCAGGAAGGUUCAACCUCUGCUGCCAUAUCACCAACAUCUGCCUCUGACAUUGAGAGCCAAUAUAUUAAAAUAGGAGGUGUUACUUUCAGAGCAGCCCUUGUACCUUUCACUGAUAACCUACCCUACAUGGUUUCUACACCACUGGUCUGAUACAUGGAGUGUUUUGGCCUUUGUCCACAUUUUGUUCACGGUGUACAUAGACACACUCAUAAUUUGCAGGCAGACUCAGGAAUCAUCCCUGAGCUCAGUUGUUUACUCCUUUGUCUUGUAGUAUCAAGCAACUUUGACUUGGAUCACACAGAACUCACCUGUAUGAGACGAGAUUAUUUUGAACAAGCAGCAGUUAAGCCCUCACUGCAGCUGUACAGGAAUUUUGUUAAGCCUGUUUAAAUGAAAAGGAUCCUGUCAUUUUCCCUACCUUGAGUGAACUCUAGAUGCUGAAGACAGAUGGACCACCAGAUGGACCCUGGGAAGGAUUGGUUAAAAUGUCAGUGAUAAGCUAACAGAAUGAAAUGCAGUAGACUGAGGAGACUAUUCUGCUGAAAACCAUCUACUGAAAUGGGGUUUGUAUUAUUCACAUUCAUUAAAGCACACUUCAACUGUGCUGUUUUGACAUUUUCUGUUUCGAGACUUUCAAGUCAAGCAGCUCUGUGUUUGCUGUUUUGCUGAGGUUUUUUUCUUUUCCAAAUGGUUGUUUGAUGAUAGAUUUUCAAAAGUGACCCUAGCUCUUUAAGGCGAUUGCUUUGCCAUUGAGGAAUCUUGCCAUUGUUAUAUUCAGCCAUCAAACUUACAAGUACACCAAUUCAGACUCUGAAGAGCAAACUGAUGUAAGGAUGAAGAUUAUAUAAGGGACAGAAGUGAGUUAUUGCUUGCUUCUGGUAAACUCGCAUAACUUGCUUUCCAAUUCUUACCGUUCAUUUACCUGCAAUACUAAUUCCAACAACUUCUUUGGAUUAAGCCUUGAGAAUUUCAUUACAAACAUGGAAAGAAAUGCAUACACAUGGCAGUGUAUCAGCAGUAGGGAACAAGCUAAGACGGGUCAGGAAAGACUCCAGGCAGAAGCUUUGUUGCAAAACAGAAACACAAAAUAGAGAUUUGCCUGAUUUCAUGUGGUUCAUCAUUCAGCUGCUUGAUUUCUCCACUCUUCAUUUGCUUCACAAGAAAAAAAGCUGUUUCCUUCAAACUUGCAAUAUUAGUUAUGAUUCUGCACCAGUGCCACAUGGCUAGUCUACCCAUAACUUCAUAAGGGAUAUUCUGCAGUUUCAAGUACAAAUCAAUUGUCACAAGAUCAACAUCAAAAUAUCUUCUUUACUGAGUCACACUAUAAAUUCUAUCAUGAAUAUUGCCAUUCAAUGAUUCAUAAAUAAAAACAAACGUUAGCAUUGAGAGGUAUUCCUCUCUUACUUGAAACAAUUCCCA